rnacentral:rRNA from 1 species
AACGAACGCUGGCGGCAUGCCUAACACAUGCAAGUCGAACGAGACCUUCGGGUCUAGUUGCGCACGGGUGCGUAACGCGUGGGAACCUGCCCUUAGGUUCGGAAUAACUCCCCGAAAGGGGUGCUAAUACCGGAUAAUGUCUUCGGACCAAAGAUUUAUCGCCUUUGGAUGGGCCCGCGUUGGAUUAGCUAGUUGGUAGGGUAAAAGCCUACCAAGGCGACGAUCCAUAGCUGGUCUGAGAGGAUGAUCAGCCACACUGGGACUGAGACACGGCCCAGACUCCUACGGGAGGCAGCAGUGGGGAAUAUUGGGCAAUGGGCGAAAGCCUGAUCCAGCAAUGCCGCGUGAGUGAUGAAGGCCUUAGGGUUGUAAAGCUCUUUUACCCGGGAUGAUAAUGACAGUACCGGGAGAAUAAGCUCCGGCUAACUCCGUG